AGUGAACGCUGGCGGUAUGCCUAACACAUGCAAGUCGAACGGCAGCACAGUAAGAGCUUGCUCUUACGGGUGGCGAGUGGCGGACGGGUGAGGAAUACAUCGGAAUCUACUUUUUCGUGGGGGAUAACGUAGGGAAACUUACGCUAAUACCUCAUACGACCUACGGGUGAAAGCAGGGGAUCUUCGGACCUUGUGCGAUUGAAUGAGCCGAUGUCGGAUUAGCUAGUUGGCGGGGUAAAGGCCCACCAAGGCGACGAUCCGUAGCGGGUCUGAGAGGAUGAUCAGCCACACUGGAACUGGGACACGGUCCAGACUCCUACGGGAGGCAGCAGUGGGGAAUAUUGGACAAUGGGCGCAAGCCUGAUCCAGCCAUACCGCGGGGGUGAAGGAGGCCUUCGGGUUGUAAAGGCCUUUUGUUGGGAAAGAAAAGCAGCAGGUUAAUACCCCGCUGUUCUGACGUUACCCAAAGAAUAAGCACCGGCUAACUUCGUG
rnacentral:rRNA from 1 species